GCCAGAAAGAAUCCUGAGCAGGGAUGAGGGCAAGCAGUGAUGGCACAUGAAGAGGAUUGGAGGGAUCAUCUAGAGAGCCCAGCGCCAGGUAUAGCUUGCUUAGGAACAAUAGGCCGUCCAGCUCUUCAGCAGCAAACUGGGAAAAUCAACAGGACCGUAGAGAACGAUAUAUAGAAGGGAGGACACUGGGGAGUGAGGCCUUGGGACCGAGGCCGAACAUCAGAGCGAAGAAGCACUGUGUGGACACGUGCCCCAGACUGCUUUCUAGGGAGACAUACCUAGAGGUAGAGAUGAUUUCUUCACACCGAUUACAAAUCCAGCCUCAGGGUACGUGGUGCUCAUGAUGGCAGGUGGGAACCAUCUUUCAAAGUGUGCUCUGCCAAUCAGCAGCACCAGCAGCACCUGGGAGUGUGUUUGAAAUGCAGCGUCUUGGGGCUGGCAUUGGACAUACUGAAUCAGAAUCCGUAUUUUUGCCAAGCCACUCGGUUCACUUGUAUGGCCAAUACAUUUUUCAGAAUCACCCGUCUACUCAAGAUAGCUGCUGGAAAUUGAUUUUGCUAAAGGCAGAGGAAACUUCUAGUCAAUUAUUGGCAUGUGUUCCCGACCAGUUCAUCCACCAGGAGGGAGGGAAACUGCUUAUGCAAGCUCUCUUCUGGCCACAAAGAAGGCUGAAGUUGACAUGAGCUGGGACAAGUAAGGUGAUCUUCUCAUUUACCCUGGAGUUCUUGAGAGUCAAGGUGGGGGCUUGGGGGACAGUCAAAUACUAGAGGCGACAGAGGAGUGGAUUUCAAAGAUGAGCAUGAUGCAAGGUUCUUUAAGGGAAGAUGGCAUGACAAGGUGAGAGCCUUUAAAGACAGAACUUCCGCUAUGUCUGAAACCAAAAACAGUGCCAGUGAGGAAAAAAAGGAGGGUGUCUAAAAAGGUGGGUGUGGCCGCCCAAGGUCACUUAUGGAAUGCAGACAUGCACAGAAGGAGGAAGGAAGAACACACGACUGAGCAGGAAUUUAGAAGACUUACUUGGAUCUAUACCAAGAGUGGCAGGUGGCUAAGGAAAGAGAAAAAAAUGUGACUUGUUAAAGCGUUGGCGAUAAGAGCUUCUCUGGGUAAGUGUGGAGCUAGGAGGGCCAGAGAGGAAUAUUUCUGCUAUUUGGAAAGCAGCAUGUGUCACUGGCUCAACAAGGUCCACCUGACGGCUGCCCCCCACCCCCCCCAACUCUUUCUCAAUCACAUCGUCAUGGCAUUUAUUGCUGCUUGGAAUUAGGUAGUCGAUUUCUUGUUUUCUCAUUCAUUAUCUACUUCGACCUCUUCUAAGAUGUGAGCUCCAUGAGAGCAGUGACUUCAUUUUUCUGAUUGGCCACCAGAUUCCCAGAGCCUGGCCCAUGACAGGUGCCACACACAUGUGAAUGAAUGAACCAAUGAAUGAAGCCAAAUGCCUCAACCCCUGUGUUCUGGGGGAGGUAUCCAAAUUCUGUUCACUUCUGUCUGCUCUGUCCAGACCUGGACAUGAGGCUUUCCAAAGGACAAUAAACUCAAAAAGAAAAGAGGAGAGUUAGUCACCUUCCUUGAGAACCGACGCUGGGUGUGCAUGUGUGACAUAAAUGAUACCACUGAGCUCUCCUGCUAAUUGGGGCUGGUCUUCUCAUUCCCAUUUAACAGACAAAGAAGAGGUUCAGGGAAGUUAAGUGACCUGCCCAAAGCUACCCAGGAAGCUAGAUGUGAACUGAGUCUUUCUGGUUCCAGAACCCACGCUCUUUCUAUUGUGUUGUAUUGAGGCUUGACAGGAACCAGACUAAAAGAGAAAUCAACCCUUUAACUGCUUUAAAUAAACUUAAAUCUCUAAGCCCUGGA